CCCUUAGAUGUCCUGGGCCGCACGCGCGUUACACUGAUGCAUUCAACGAGCUUAUAACCUUGGCCGAGAGGCCUGGGCAAUCUUGUUAACGUGCAUCGUGAUAGGGAUAGAUUAUUGAAAUUAUUAAUCUUGAACGAGGAAUUCCUAGUAAACGCAGAUCAUCAAUCUGCAUUGAUUACGUCCCUGCCCUUUGUACACACCGCCCGUCGCACCUACCGAUCGAAGAGUUAGGUGAAUUGUUUUGAUCGAUAAGAUUUGACUAUGGUCAACUCUCGUUGUGAAAUUCUGUGAAUCUGACUGUUUAGAGGAAGGAAAAGUCGUAACA
rnacentral:rRNA from 1 species